rnacentral:tRNA from 1 species
UGUAGCUUGGUGUUUAUUGCAUUCUACGGUUUGGUUGUAGAGGGAUGUCGUUGUUAGCUGCAG